CAGAGCCUCUGGGGCCUGAAGGUCUCUGACUGAUGCCCCAAAAGCUUCUGGCAAGUAGGAGUUCAGGGUAAUUCCAGCCAGGCGGAGCACAGCUCCUUAUUUAUUUUGUGUAAAGUUUGUAUAUAUGGAGCCAUCGGGUCUCUGUUCAUCUGUCUGUCUGCACCUCUCAGAGGGACCAGGAAAAAUCUGUUUCCUCCAUCCUCCGCCAGAGCUCUUUCCAUCCUCUUGCUCUGGGGUGGGCACUGACUGGCCUCUCUGGUACAAAAUGUGCAGUCUGUGGAAGUCAUUCAGCUUCCAUGUUUCCACUCACACCUCUUCCCUGAGCUCCGACCCAGCGACUCUGUCCUGUCCCCUGUAAACAGGCUCGCUUUAUUCUACCGGUUCUGCCUUCCCUGGGAGUGGCAGCCGGCUCUAGGGUGAGACUCACUCCCACUGGUAUUAAAUUAAAGGGAAAUUAAAUCUGUGACCCUCAUUUAGUUGUGGUUAUGUUACCUGUCCUCUCAGUGGUGGGACAGGGUCAUGGCUCCCUGGGCCCACUGUGAGCUCCUUAAAAAGAGCUUUCAUCCCCUCAGUGUUAAUUGGCUCUCUCCUCCCCACUACACUGCUUCAGAAGCUCAGCUUCCACAGUGUCUUCUGUUAUAGAACAAGUGUAUUCAGAGGGCCACAGCUUAUGGUUGUGAAAAGGUGUGCACGGCAGGGAAGACCACAGAGAUAGGAGCCAGAUAGGAGGUUUGGGAUCAGAACUGUUGGCAAAUUAAGCAACUGUGUUAGUGGACAAAGUCGACCCCUGGAGCAGGGCUCUGAGGAUACAGCUGCAGACAGCAGGUGGUGGGGACUGUCACAGAAACCCACUGCGGCUGCUAUCAUGGUGGCAGGGCCUCUCGGGAGGGAACAGGACCUGUACUCAUUAGAGAGGGAAGCUGGAGUGGGGAACAGGGCCACUGAGAAAACAGGCAGGCUAUGGAGGUGGCAGGGAAUCCCAGGAAGGCACUAAGGUCAGGGUCCAAGGGUCAAGUAACUGGCCAGCCUCCUCACCACAGGCCAACUCUGGCUACUCCCAGUCCCCAGGGCGAAACUAGCCAGUGUCUCAUCCACCUCAAGCAGGUGGUGACACUGCGAUCACCUCUCCUGGCCUUCACUCCUCCCAGCUGGUAAUGGGCACCCCACCACAGCAGCCCAUAGUGGUGACUGGCCAGCAACAGGGAUGUCACAGCCUUCCAGCGAAGGUCACAGGUCCAGGGGAGGCUGCUUCUGGUCCUCGGCUACAUUUCAGCAGGGCUUGGGAGUUCAGCUGUCCUGACCCCAGCCUGGUCCUGCACACAACACCUACAGGGUCAGGCGCCUUUUGGAUGAGCCAGGCAGAGGCUGAUGAUGACAGACGGUCCUCCCUUCAGCAAGGCUGGACCAGAGGCUCUGUGGCUGUGUGUGUCCCAUGCAGCUGCCUAACCUGGGCCCGAAGGACUCAGCAGCCCAGGCAGCUGGCCUUUAGGAGACUUGAGGCGAUCAUUGCUGGUGUUCCCAAGUCCAGGAGCCGAGUCCUGCACACCUGUGGCCCAUCUUUGCUCUUCAUAGCCUUGCAAGAGGACGUGGACAAAUAAAAUCCGCUU
ensembl:lncRNA